rnacentral:rRNA from 1 species
AUCAGUGAAAACGAGUAGGGCGGGACACGUGAUAUCCUGUCUGAAUAUGGGGGGACCAUCCUCCAAGGCUAAAUACUACUGACUGACCGAUAGUGAACCAGUACCGUGAGGGAAAGGCGAAAAGAACCCCUGUGAGGGGAGUGAAAUAGAACCUGAAACCGUGUACGUACAAGCAGUAGGAGCACCUUCGUGGUGUGACUGCGUACCUUUUGUAUAAUGGGUCAGCGACUUAAUUUUAGUAGCAAGGUUAACCGUUUAGGGGAGCCGUAGGGAAACCGAGUCUUAACUGGGCGUACAGUUGCUAGGAUUAGACCCGAAACCAGGUGAUCUAGCCAUGGGCAGGUUGAAGGUUGAGUAACAUCAACUGGAGGACCGAACCGACUAAUGUUGAAAAAUUAGCGGAUGACUUGUGGCUAGGGGUGAAAGGCCAAUCAAACCUGGAGAUAGCUGGUUCUCCCCGAAAGCUAUUUAGGUAGCGCCUCGGACGAAUACUACUGGGGGUAGAGCACUGUUAAGGCUAGGGGGUCAUCCCGACUUACCAACCCUUUGCAAACUCCGAAUGUGGGGUAGGGGAGCGUUCUGUAAGCCGUUGAAGGUGGUCUGUAAGGGCUGCUGGAGGUAUCAGAAGUGCGAAUGCUGACAUGAGUAACGAUAAAGGGAGUGAAAAACUCCCUCGCCGGAAGACCAAGGGUUCCUGUCCAACGUUAAUCGGGGCAGGGUAAGUCGACCCCUAAGGCGAGGCCGAAAGGCGUAGUCGAUGGGAAACGGGUUAAUAUUCCCGUACUUCUUACAAUUGCGAUGGGGGGACGGAGAAGGCUAGGUGGGCCUGGCGACGGUUGUCCAGGUUCAAGUACGUAGGCGGAAGAAUUAGGUAAAUCCGGUUCUUCUUAACGCUGAGAUACGAUGUCGAGCUACUACGGUAGUGAAGUCAUUGAUGCCAUGCUUCCAGGAAAAGCCUCUAAGCUUCAGAUUGUAAGGAAUCGUACCCCAAACCGACACAGGUGGUCGGGUAGAGAAUACCAAGGCGCUUGAGAGAACUCGGGUGAAGGAACUAGGCAAAAUGGUACCGUAACUUCGGGAGAAGGUACGCUCUUAUCAGUGAAGUCCCUUGCGGAUGGAGCAGACGAGAGUCGCAGAUACCAGGUGGCUGCAACUGUUUAUUAAAAACACAGCACUGUGCAAAAUCGUAAGAUGACGUAUACGGUGUGACGCCUGCCCGGUGCCGGAAGGUUAAUUGAUGGGGUUAGACUUCGGUCGAAGCUCUUGAUCGAAGCCCCGGUAAACGGCGGCCGUAACUAUAACGGUCCUAAGGUAGCGAAAUUCCUUGUCGGGUAAGUUCCGACCUGCACGAAUGGCGUAAUGAUGGCCACGCUGUCUCCACCCGAGACUCAGUGAAAUUGAAAUCGCUGUGAAGAUGCAGUGUACCCGCGGCUAGACGGAAAGACCCCGUGAACCUUUACUACAGCUUGGCACUGAACAUUGAACCUACAUGUGUAGGAUAGGUGGGAGACUUUGAAACCGCGUCGCUAGAUGUGGUGGAGUCGUCCUUGAAAUACCACCCUUGUAGUUUUGAUGUUCUAACGUUGGUCCCUGAAUCGGGAUUACGGACAGUGCCUGGUGGGUAGUUUGACUGGGGCGGUCUCCUCCCAAAGAGUAACGGAGGAGCACGAAGGUGGGCUAAACACGGUUGGACAUCGUGUGGUUAGUGCAAUGGCAUAAGCCCGCUUGACUGCGAGAAUGACAAUUCGAGCAGGUGCGAAAGCAGGUCAUAGUGAUCCGGUGGUUCUGAAUGGAAGGGCCAUCGCUCAACGGAUAAAAGGUACUCCGGGGAUAACAGGCUGAUACCGCCCAAGAGUUCAUAUCGACGGCGGUGUUUGGCACCUCGAUGUCGGCUCAUCACAUCCUGGGGCUGAAGUCGGUCCCAAGGGUAUGGCUGUUCGCCAUUUAAAGUGGUACGCGAGCUGGGUUUAGAACGUCGUGAGACAGUUCGGUCCCUAUCUGCCGUGGGCGUUGGAAAAUUGAAGGGGGCUGCUCCUAGUACGAGAGGACCGGAGUGGACGAACCUCUGGUGUUCGGGUUGUCAUGCCAAUGGCAUUGCCCGGUAGCUAAGUUCGGAAUCGAUAACCGCUGAAAGCAUCUAAGCGGGAAGCGAGCCCUGAGAUGAGUUUUCCCUGAC